rnacentral:rRNA from 1 species
GAUCCUGGCUCAGGAUGAACGCUAGCUACAGGCUUAACACAUGCAAGUCGAGGGAAACGAUAGAGAAAGCUUGCUUUUUCUAGGCGUCGACCGGCGCACGGGUGAGUAACGCGUAUCCAACCUGCCCACACUUGGGGAUAACCUUGCGAAAGUAAGACUAAUACCCAAUGACGUCUCUAGAAGACAUCUGAAAGAGAUUAAAGAUUUAUCGGUGAUGGAUGGGGAUGCGUCUGAUUAGCUUGUUGGCGGGGUAACGGCCCACCAAGGCGACGAUCAGUAGGGGUUCUGAGAGGAAGGUCCCCCACAUUGGAACUGAGACACGGUCCAAACUCCUACGGGAGGCAGCAGUGAGGAAUAUUGGUCAAUGGACGAGAGUCUGAACCAGCCAAGUAGCGUGCAGGAAGACGGCCCUAUGGGUUGUAAACUGCUUUUAUAAGGGAAUAAAGUGAGUCUCGUGAGACUUUUUGCAUGUACCUUAUGAAUAAGGACCGGCUAAUUCCGUG